AUUGAACGCUGGCGGCAGGCCUAACACAUGCAAGUCGAGCGGCAGCGGGAAAGUAGCUUGCUACUUUUGCCGGCGAGCGGCGGACGGGUGAGUAAUGCCUGGGGAUCUGCCCAGUCGAGGGGGAUAACUACUGGAAACGGUAGCUAAUACCGCAUACGCCCUACGGGGGAAAGCAGGGGACCUUCGGGCCUUGCGCGAUUGGAUGAACCCAGGUUGGGUUAGCUAGUUGGUGAGGUAAUGGCUCACCAAGGCGACGAUCCCUAGCUGGUCUGAGAGGAUGAUCAGCCACACUGGAACUGAGACACGGUCCAGACUCCUACGGGAGGCAGCAGUGGGGAAUAUUGCACAAUGGGGGAAACCCUGAUGCAGCCAUGCCGCGUGUGUGAAGAAGGCCUUCGGGUUGUAAAGCACUUUCAGCGAGGAGGAAAGGUUGGUAGCUAAUAACUGCCAGCUGUGACGUUACUCGCAGAAGAAGCACCGGCUAACUACGUGCCAGCCGCCGCCGUAAUAC
rnacentral:rRNA from 1 species